AUGUGGAGGUUUCUGGAAGGUGGUGCUUCUGGAGAGGACACAAAACACUCUGAGCCCUUUCUCCCAUACCUCUCCCUAUACAUCUCUUCCAUCUGGCUCUUCAUCUGUAAUAUCCUUUACAAUAAACCAAUAAAGGACAUAAAACUAGCCUUUCAGGCCAAUGGAAAAGUGGUCUCAUGCCAUUCUCUUGUAUCACCUCCUCUACCCUUCAAAGGCAAGAGUCAUCCUUCUUAUCAGAUAAAUAAAUAAAUAAAACAGAAAGAUGAUUGAUUGAUUGAUUGAUUGAUAGAUAGACAGAUAGAUGAUAGAUUGAUAGGUAGAUAGAUAGACAAACAAAUCCCUUAUGCAUAUCAUAUAAUACUAUCCAGACAGACACCUGGGAGGGAGAGGAUUAAAAGCUUAUUAGCUUAUCCAAAAUAUGGACACUACAGCCUGAUCUUAUCUAAGCUAAUCAUCUGCUACACUAUCAUUGACCUUUUUCCCUUUAGAGCAGGCAGGCAAUGAUGCACUUACCAGUCUAGAUCCAAAAAUUCUGCAUAUAGAAAUCUGUCUCUCUGCAUGUUGACACAGCUUUGAAGCUGGUCUCUGACUUACUUUUUUGUUGUUGUUAUAUAUUUGGUGAGAAGUGAUAUUACUUCGUUUCUAGUUGCAGCAUCCAAGCUUUGACUUUGAGGUGGAUCAUCCAGGAGUUAUUCUAAUAAUGACUGCAACAAUAAAACCUAUUUUCCAAUUAAAGAUUUAGAAGAU
rnacentral:lncRNA from 13 species